rfam:Clostridium tepidiprofundi DSM 19306 CLTE_contig000111, whole genome shotgun sequence.
GGGGAUAUAGCUCAGCUGGGAGAGCACCUGCCUUGCACGCAGGGGGUCAGGGGUUCGAAUCCCCUUAUCUCCA